UCGGAAUCUACUCUGUCGUGGGGGAGUAACGUAGGGAAACUUACGCUAAUACCGCAUACGACCUACGGUGAAAGCAGGGAUCUUCGGACCUUGCGCGAUUGAAUGAGCCGAUGUCGGAUUAGCUAGUUGGCGGGGUAAAGGCCCACCAAGGCGACGAUCCGUAGCUGGUCUGAGAGGAUGAUCAGCCACACUGGAACUGAGACACGGUCCAGACUCCUACGGGAGGCAGCAGGC
rnacentral:rRNA from 1 species